CCCGCCCUAGCUCAGUUUGGCAGAGCGGACGGCUGUAGACCGUCUGGUCCCCCGUUCAAAUCGGGGGGGCGGGA
rnacentral:tRNA from 1 species